UGAAACACAAGCUGCUGAGCUUUACUCCAGAAUUUCUGGUUCAGUAGGUCUGCAGUAGGACCUGAAAUUUUAUAUUUCUAACAAGUUUUCAGGAGCUGCUGAUGCCGCUAGUACAGGGCUCACAUUUUGAGAACCUCUGGUCUAGCAAGUUGCCACCAAGAAUGAAGAUUGGGCCAGAGAACAAGAAACAAGUCAACAUUUUGAUUUCAAACAUCAGAAAAGGUGUCCAGAAAUCUCAAGAAUUUGAGACAUCCUAAGGAACUUUAAGUGCUGUGAGCCACAAGUAACAUCAAGAAAAGACAGGGAUGAAGAACCGCACUUACAAGCUCAGUAAGAUUAAACCCAGCAUGGAGAUAUAUGAAUUAAUAUGAACUCUGAGAAAGAAAUUGGUCAGCUAAAAAAUAUAUGGCUUUCCUGAAUAGACAAAAGAACAAAGAUUUUCCCUUUGGAAAUGCAGUAGACAUUUGUCACCAGCAGCUCUUUGGAGACUUCAAUGUUCCUUCCUCCCAGGAUCUGAAAGGGGACUUCAGACACGGAGAAUCUAAGACACCAGGAGCUCAGAAGAAUGGAGUCUCAAGACAUCAGGCAAAUACCGAAGAGAUCAGAGCCAAGUUCUAAAGGGCAGCCAUUUCCCAAAUGUCAACCAAGAGCGAAGCCAAGAGAAUUAUGAUUUCCUGGCUAUACAAUCACAGGAAAAGCCUGAUCAAAGCUGGAGUGCAAGUUAAAAAGUGUAAGGUACUCAAGUGCUAGGGUCUGUGUCCAAGCCCAAUCAAUUGAUCAUUAGUUGUUUUUAACUUCAACGUUUCUUUUGCAACAGCACCUCUUCCUUAAAGUAGCAAUCUUAGCAGACUGCCACCUUACAUGAUGCAUCUUAUUCUCCAAGGACAAUGAAGACUGAACUAUCGCACAUUACCUAAGAAAGAUGGGAAUUGACGUGCACAUCACAAUUGUAUACACAACAGAAAUUAUUGAAUCAUGAGAUAUACAUUCCGGUGUGUGACAGAUUGGCACAUGACAUAAUCUGGGUUCUUUAUAGACUCAGUUGUUUUGGGUCGAUCUAGAUUAUCAAGAGAAGAGCCUUCAUGCUUAGCUUUAUCUUGUACCAACCACCAGGGCCCUUGCUUCUGAGCAGGAAGCAGCUGGGGAAUAGGCUCUUCCUCUUAAUGACUUCCAACAUAGUUCUCUCAAACCUUACUCCUCCAGAAGGCCACCCUCACCUGGCUAUGGCUACUUCAGAAAAGACUUGGCCUCUGGUAUAAUAGAGCAGAAUCAUCACCUCACAUUCUAUUUCAAGCCAAAGUGAAUAUCUCAAAGGCUGGUUCUGUGAUUUAUUUGGCCCUUGGGAGCUCCUACUGAAAGUGCUGAAAUGUCGUAC
rnacentral:lncRNA from 1 species